rnacentral:rRNA from 1 species
AUUGAACGCUGGCGGCGUGCUUAACACAUGCAAGUCGAUCGGUAACGCGGGGGCAACCCUGGCGACGAGAGGCGGACGGGUGAGGAACGCUUGGGAAUCUGCCUAUCAGCGGGGGACAACCCGGGGAAACUCGGGCUAAUACCGCAUACGCUCUACGGAGGAAAGCCGGGGACCGCAAGGCCUGGCACUGAUAGAUGAGCCCAAGUCGGAUUAGCUAGUUGGCGGGGUAACGGCCCACCAAGGCGACGAUCCGUAGCUGGUCGGAGAGGACGAUCAGCCACACUGGGACUGCGACACGGCCCCGACUCCUACGGGAGGCAGCAGUGGGGAAUAUUGGACAAUGGGGGAAACCCUGCUCCAGCGACGCCGCGUGGGUGAAGAAGGCCUGCGGGUUGUAAAGCCCUUUCAGUAGGGACGAAGGCUCUCGACCUAACACGUCGGGAGGUUGACUUAACCUACAAAAGAAGCACCGGCUAACUCUGUGCCAGCCGCCGCCGUAAUAC